UCCGGCUUAACGCCGGCAGUCUCGCUAGAGUCCCCGCCAUAACGCGCUGGCAACUAGCGACAGGGGUUUCGCUCGUUAAGGGACUUAACCCGACACUUCACAGCACGAGCUGACGACAGCCAUGCAACACCUGUGCAAGUUUCACCCCGAAGGGCAGCCCAUCUGAGUUAUCCCCAAAGGGCAUCCAAGCAUGUCAAACCCGGGUAAGGUUCUUCGCGUUGCUUCGAAUUAAGCCACAUGCUCCACCGCUUGUGUGAGCCCCCGUCAAUUCCUUUGAGUUUUAGCCUUGCGGCCGUACUCCCCAGGCGGCACACUUAGCACUUUUGCUACGACGCCGGUUCCGUCAGAGGCCCCAACGUCUAGUGUGCAUCGUUUACGGCGUGGACUAC
rnacentral:misc_RNA from 1 species